rnacentral:rRNA from 1 species
AGUGAACGCUGGCGGUAGGCCUAACACAUGCAAGUCGAACGGCAGCACAGUAAGAGCUUGCUCUUACGGGUGGCGAGUGGCGGACGGGUGAGGAAUACAUCGGAAUCUACUUUUUCGUGGGGGAUAACGUAGGGAAACUUACGCUAAUACCGCAUACGACCUACGGGUGAAAGCAGGGGAUCCUCGGACCUUGCGCGAUUGAAUGAGCCGAUGUCGGAUUAGCUAGUUGGCGGGGUAAAGGCCCACCAAGGCGACGAUCCGUAGCUGGUCUGAGAGGAUGAUCAGCCACACUGGAACUGAGACACGGUCCAGACUCCUACGGGAGGCAGCAGUGGGGAAUAUUGGACAGUGGGCGCAAGCCUGAUCCAGCCAUACCGCGUGGGUGAAGAAGGCCUUCGGGUUGUAAAGCCCCUUUGUUGGGAAAGAAAAGCAGCAGGUUAAUACCCCGCUGUUCUGACGGUACCCAAAGAAUAAGCACCGGCUAACUUCGUG